rnacentral:rRNA from 1 species
AUCUACGGCCAUACCACCCUGAACGCGCCCGAUCUCCUCUGAUCUCGGAAGCAAAAAAGGAAGUCACAAGGGAAAAAUGGAAAAAAAUCAUUAAAGUAAAAAAUAAAAUGUGAAGCUGGGGCAG